AGAUUCCAGUGACUGGGCUGUAGAUAUUGUCCAGAUGUACCAAACCCAAGAAUUAACCAAAGGAAAAAAAAAAAAGACAAGGAGAAAUAGAAAUACUCCCGAAAACUGCCCGCUGCUAUCCCGCUGAACCUAGACCAUCAACCCAGCCCUACUCAACCCUCUCAACAACAACCGCCGUCCCAUACGAACACACCUGCGCAAACCCGCCCAGAUCGCUCGUAUCAAAUCGGAGCGCGAUAAUCGCAUUCCCCCCCUUCUGCAAACACUCGCCCACCAUGCGCGACACGGCCUCGUUGCGCGCGCGAUACAGCAUUGUGGUGAACAUGCCCAAUUCCCCACCACCGAUGGAUUUGAGCACCAUGCCCAGUCCUGCGGCCAGGUUGCGCGAUUGCACGGUGAGUCCGUAGACGGCGCCCAGGACCCGAGUCACGCGGUAGCCCGGGAGGUCGUUCAUGGUUGUGGUGAUCACGCCAUCAGUGUCGCUGAAGGCACCGUGGACCUCCAGGCCCUGCAGACUGUCUUGGGGGGCCAUGGUGGACUUUUGUGGAUGAGAAGCUGAUGUCAUAUGGUGGAUGUGUAGUUAUGUUGAGGAGGAAAGGAGACAGAGAAGGAGAAGGAGAAGGAGGAGGAUGGACGGAGGAUGGUUUGUGUAUUUAUAGACUUUUCCGAAAGAUGUUUUGAUGAUGAGUUUGCUUUCUAUGGCUUUUUUGAUCAUUUAAAUUUUGGACUUGCUUCUUUGAAUGUGUCUCCUUCUGCAGCUCUGUCCUGAAUCUCCUGGUUUAUAUACUUUUCAGACCCGGCAACAGCCUUAUCGGUUGGGUUUUGCAACUAACUCCGUUUGGGAUAAAACUCGUAUUCCUUCAACCUCUUCAUGACGAUCCACUGCUAUAUACUUUUGAUCGCCGCAUUAGACGAGCAAUUUGGCUUGUUAGGGAGGAAUGUGCUUCUGUUUAUACGGUAUUUAAGAGCCUGGAUUGAAUGUAUUCACAGAUUUCACGUAUUCGUUGAUUGAAUGAUGUUCGCCUGAUUAUCUCUUGACAACUGUCGUGAAACCAACGAACGAGGAGAGGCGUACCAUGGUCGUUUAGCAAUUGUCCAAAGAUUAGGC
rnacentral:sRNA from 1 species